AGCGCUUCCGGUCCCGCCCCAAAAGGCUACGCGACAGGGCCGGGGAUUUAGCUCAGUGGUUCCGCCUCCUGCCUGGCAAGAGUAAGGAUCUGAGUUCGAUCCCAGGUUCGGAAAAAGAACAACAACAACAACAACAACAACAAAACCGCGACAAAGCCCAUUGGCCGGCAGCCCUUCUACCAACCCCCUCCGAGACAUGCCCCGCUCACGUGACCCAGCUUGUGCGGCGACCCCGGAAGCCGCCUGGCUCAGCGGCUAACCCGGCUGUGAGCUCUACGUCCGCGCGGCGGGGAGAUGUUCUCGGCGGGCGAGGAGAGCUUGCUUCACCAAGCCAGGGAGAUCCAGGAUGAGGAGCUGCAGAGGUUCUGCUCCCGAGUCAGCAAGCUGCUGCAGGAGGACCUGGGACCAGCCACCGUGGAUGCCCUGCAAAGACUCUUCCUCAUCAUCUCGGCCACCAAGUACGUGCGCAGGCUGGAGAAGACGUGUGUGGAUCUGCUGCAGGCCACCCUGUCCUUGCCCACAUGCUCUGAGCAGGUCCAGGUCCUCUGUGCCGCUAUCCUGAGAGAGAUGUCACCCUCCGACAGCCUGACCCUGUCCUGUGAUCACACCCAGACCCCCCAUCAGCUGAGCCUGGUGGCGUCUGUACUCUUGGCACAGGGUGACAGAAGAGAGGAGGUCAGAAGAGUGAGCCAGCACGUCUUCACUGUCCUGGAGAGCCGGCAGCCCGAGGGCCCUAACCUCAGGCCCCUCUUGCCAGUCCUGUCCAGGGUCAUGGGCCUCGCCCCAGGGACCCUUCAGGAAGACCAGGCCACCCUGCUCAGCAAGCGGCUAGUGGACUGGCUGCGCUAUGCCCGAGUCCAGCAGGGGGUCCCACACUCAGGGGGCUUCUUCUCCACACCCAGGGCACGGCAGCCGGGCCCCAUCACCGAGGUGGAUGGGGCGGUGGCCUCGGACUUCUUCACAGUGCUGUCCACGGGUCAGCACUUCACAGAGGACCAGUGGCUGAACGUGCAGGCCUUCUCCAUGCUGCAGGCAUGGCUGCUGCUCAGUGGCCCCAAGGGCCCAGGCCUUCCAGACGCAGAGGACAAGUCUGAGCUGGAGGGCUCCACCCUCUCCGUGCUCUCUGCCGCCUCUGCUGGCCGCCAGCUGCUCCCUCAGGAGCGUCUGAGGGAAGUGGCCUUCCAGUACUGCAAGCGCCUCAUCGAACAGAGUAACCGGCGAGCCCUGAGGAAGGGGGACUCUGACCUGCAGAAAGCGUGCCUGGUGGAAGCCGUGCGGGUGCUGGAUGUGCUGUGCCGGCAGGACCCUUCCUUUCUGUACCGCAGCCUCUCCUGCCUCAAGGCGCUGCGCGGGCAGCUGGGCCAGGACCCAGGCAGCGAGCGGGCACUGCUGCCACUCGCCCAGUUCUUCCUCAACCACGGGGCGGCAGCCGCCGUGGACUCGGAAGCCAUCUACCAGCACCUCUUCACCAGGCUCCCGUCUGAGCGUUUCUACAGCCCCAUGCUGGCCUUCGAGGUCACCCGGUUCUGCCGGAACAACCUUCCCCUGUUCGACCCUCAGCUCCUUGGCCUCCUGAAGCUGAGCUUUCCUAACCUCUUUAAGCUCCUGGCUUGGAACAGCCCUCCCCUCACUGCUGAGUUCGUGGCGCUCCUCCCUGCGCUGGUGGACGCCAGCACAGCCGUGGAGAUGCUGCACUCCCUGCUGGACCUGCCCUGCUUGACGGCCGCCCUGGACCUGCAUCUCAGAUCAUCACAGACGCCCUCUGAAAGGCCACUCUGGGACCCCUCCCUCAGGACCCCUGGCUCCCUGGAGGCCUUCCGGGACCCGCAGUUACAGCCGCUCUUCCAUUACCUGCUGCGCACCAAGGCCAGCGGCUCCACAGAAAGGCUGGUGCCACUCUACCAGCUGCUGCAGCCCAUGGCCGGCUGUGCCCGAGUGGCCCAGUGUGCCCAGGCGGUGCCGACCCUGCUCCAGGCCUUCUUCUCCACUGUGACCCAGGUUGCCGAUGGGGCCCUGACCAACCAGCUGGCGCUGCUGGUCCUAGAGAGAAGCGAUGCCCUCUACCACGUCCCGCAGUACCAGGCACAUGUGCAUAGGGUGCUGAGCUCCCAGUUCCUGGCCCUGUGCAAGCAGAAGCCAUCCCUGGUGCUGGAGCUGGCGAGGGAGCUCCUGGAGCUCGUGGGUAGCGUGAGCAACAUCCAGAGCAGGGCAGGCAUGUUCACCUGUGUGGUGUGGGCCAUCGGCGAGUACCUGUCGGUGACCUGUGAUCGGCGAUGCACCGUGGAGCUGAUCAACAAGUUCUUCGAGGCCCUGGAGGCCCUGCUAUUUGAGGUCACCCAGUCUCGUCCCUCAGCCGACCUGCCCUGGUGUCCACCCCAGGUUGUCACCGUGCUCAUGACUACGCUGACCAAGCUGGCCUCUCGGAGCCAGGACCUUAUCCCCAGGGACCAUCCCUGACCCGGAACAGAAUGGAUCCAGCACUGAGCUGCAGCCCCAGCCCAUUCUUUAUUUUGAGACAGCGUCUUGACACAUCACUAAGUUGCCCAGACUGGGCUGGAACUUUCGAUCCUCCUGCCUCAGCCUCCCAGAGUGCUGGGAUUACAGGUGCGCGCUCCGGGAAAGCUCACGUAUCCCUGCCCGGCCUGCAAGGUCCUCACCCACCUCCCUACUCCAGCGGGCGCCCUCGUGCCGCUUUGCCCCGGGAGAAGCCACCCCCACAGCAGAUGACCACGGAGACGCAGGUGGGGCGUCUCAGUCGAGCGUGUCGCGUUUGUUGUUCGCACCCACAGAGUGGCCUAGCGCGCAGCGCACCUGGAGACUUACGCACAUCCCCGUACACGCAUGUGUGCCCUGCCCUCUUCCCAGGGACUGUCCCUUCCGCGCUGGGGCGGGGAUUCCCAAGGGGUACCACGCGUCCCCAGACGCUUCUUUCUGGCCUCACCGGGCUGGAGGCGAGACCGCCUGGGCCCCCCGCCUCGCAGGUGUUGGCAGGGGCACACGCUCUGCUGAUUGUUCAUUCAGCACCAUUGUCAGAUCGUUCACGUCAGUGCUGCUCUCCAAACACGGCGCAGACAUGGCGCUUAUCCUUGAGAUUUGCCCUGAUGGUCAAAAAGCAAUGGUGGGUAGCAUCCACCUGUGCCAGUCUGUCCACCCCCACACGUGCACAGCUUCACAGUGUGCACCUCACUUGCUGUGUCCUUGCGGAAACAGCGAGAAGUACUGGCUUAAAAUAGAAGCCCUGGCUUCCCAGAGCAGGGAUCCUUGGGGCCAGGGGCAGGGGCUUUGGGCUGUGAGCUGAAGCUCUCACUUUUGAGAGCAGACACCACUUUCAUUUUAAAGAGUGACAGGCUGUCCAGAUGGCCAUUUGGCAGGUAUCUGGUAGGAAAUGAAUAAAGUAACUUCCCAGAAAAUAAUCGAGAAUCUUCUUUGCCAGUGAGAAAAUCUGAGUUCUCAAAGUGAAAAGUUGGAAUGUUGAAGAUUGGGUAUCUGGUUUUUUAAACUUCCCUAUCAAAAAGCGACAGUAGUGAUUUCUAAAAAUACUGUAUGAAAUAAUGUUCGAAAUUCAUGUCUCUUAAUUUUUCCAUUUUUUUAAUCUCUGGGUUUAAUUCUGACUAAAUCAUUCAGACUUUUUUUUUUUAACCAAUUCACUAAUCCUCUCCUUCUGAACCUAAUUACCAGUUUAACACUUCACUGAUUCCUAAAAUUUCAGUGACUGGACUGUAGUGAAGGUUGCACAACUAUAUACUAACCACAGUUGUUCAAUUUAAGUUGGCACAUUAUAUGGUGGGUGAAUUGUAUGCCAGUAAAACUGCUGCCAGUUUUCAAUAAGCAGUUUUCACUUCUAGAAGUUCUGGUUGAUUUAGUCGUCCUCAUGUAUGAAACUGAAUUCAUCAUGACCCUUAAAGCAUGGCCUACUCUGUUUCUGUUGUUCUGGUUCAUGUUUGUUUUGUUUUCUGAUGCUGAGGUUCAAACCCAGUACUGCUCGCAGACUCAGCGUUCUACACUGAGCCACACUCCUGGCCCUCAGCACUCAUCUUUGAUAUUUCCAGAGCUCUCUUCUGUCUUCGUUAAUUAGCAGGUAAAACAAUAACCAUGAUGAACCUGCCACCCCGUCUCAGGAAGCCUGGUGACCACACAUCUGCCCGCGUGCUUCUGCCUUCCCUUCCCCUGCUCCCCUUCCAAAUCCUGAGUCAUUGUCCUGAAGGGCUUUCUUGGAGUCCCCCCUCCCACACAAACAGGGACCUCUCAAGAUACAGUGUUCCCUUUGAUUUCUUUAGCAUUGUAAAAUUGCAUCACACUGCAGUCAGCCUUUGAGGCCCGAUUUUCUUUCUAUUCAGGUGCCCUGUCGACACACUUGAUCCAUGGCAUCCAGGUGGCUGGUCUACCAGUCGGAGCUGAUGGCAGCCGGAUCCAGGCCGCCAGCACCUGGUGUCUGCCUCCGGGAGAGAACCUCCGAGCUGAUGCCCCUGCUUCUGUCUGGGCCUCUCAUGUGGCACAAAGUAAUCCUAUUGCUCCCACCUCUCUAAUAAUAGAUCCUUAUCUCACCUAGACUAAAAUCCAAAGUCCCCAAAACAGUCACUGGCUGCCUGUGACCUGGGCCCCAGCCUGACCUGACUGCUUCAGCCACACCAGUCUCCCGUGUUCCGGGCAUGAGAGCUCCAGCCUAAUGCCUGUGCCUGUUGCUCCUAGUAGAAGUGCUGUCCCCUGAAUAACCAUACAGCUGUCCCUCACUUAGACCCUGCAGGUGACUGAUGAGAUGACUAUUACCGAGGCCUGCCAAGUGCUGUAUAUUAAAUGACACCCACAUGCCUCCAUCUCCACCUGCUUGCCCCUGCCUCAUCUGGUCCACACUGAUUCUCCUCUGCAGCACUGAGCACUGACACGGUCUGUAUUAAUCUAUUAUUGUCAGGCUAGAAAAAUUAGAAUUGAAGUUCCAAGAGGUCCAGGAAGGACACUGUCUCUUGUUCAUUCAUAUGUCCUAAUUGAUUUCUGUCAUAUAUUACUGGGAGAUUUAAGCUAAGGCCUCCUCUUAUCAUAGUGGAUUCAAUCCCUGUCUUCAUCUGGUUUUUGCUUUAUGUACUUUGAGAAAAUGUUAUUAGGUGCAUCUAAGUUGAAAAUUUUCAUCUUCCUGGUGAACUGAACUUUUAAUUACUUUGUACAUCUGAUACAUUGUUGUCCAUCCUUUUAGCAUUAACUUUUAUAGAUUCUUAACAUUUUACUUUUUUUUUUGGUACUGGGGAUUGAACUCGGGUCCUUGCACUUGCAUGGCAGGCGGUGGAACCACUGAGCUAAAUCCCUGGACCUCUUACAUUUUACUUUUAUCUCAUAAAUAUGUAGAAUUUUAUCUAGCUUGAUAAUUUUUUUGUCUUUUAACAUUAAAGUCCAUUUACAUAUAGUUUGAUUAGUGAUAAUGUUGGAUAAAUUUCCACUAUCUUAUUUAGUGCUACUUGCGCUUAUGAGGCAGGCGCAGCACCACUGAACUAAAUCCCUAGCCCUCUGUGUUUUUUGAGGGGCUUUCUCCCUUUCAGCCUUUGGGUUUUUGUUUUUCUUACUAUGUCAUGUUACCCCUCUCUUAGUUUGAAAACUGGAUACUCUUUCUAGUCUUCUAGUGGCUACACUUGAGAUGUCAACACCCGUUAACAAAGUCUAAAGCUAAUCAGUAUCAUUAAUGUCCCUUAAGAUAAUGCAAGAACCUCACAUUUUCCCCGAUCACACCCCCUUCUGGCUCACAUGCAAUUAGUGACAUGAACUGCCCCUCUGCCUUUACACUUAGAGCCUUCCAAGUUAGAGCUACUGUUGCUUUACGUCGUGGUUUAAUAUUUCUUUACAUCCCUUUAUUUGCUUACCAUCUACUCCUACAUCUCAGACCUUCUAUUAGACAUACUUCUCCCCCUUGAAAUACAACUUUUGCACAUCUCUUUGGUCUCUUUGAGUAGUAAAUUCUCUCAUUUUGCUUGUCUGAAAAAUAUUUUAAAUUUAUCCUUAUUCUUGAACGACUGGACUGAGUUUCCUGGGCCUCUGAAGAGACCAUACUGCUUGCUGGCCCCACCUCUGCCCCCCAGGCUGGUGUCCUGCUGAGAUGUCUCUUUGAGCUCUAGCCUGUUCUCCAAAGCUGCCCAAUCGCCUGUCUCUGGGUUCUGUAGUCUCACCAUAAUGCCCUUAAGUGUGUAUUUCAUUUGACUAAUCCUGCCAUUCAUUGAUCAUCCUGAACUUGAGGAUUUGGGUCUUUUAUCAAUUCUGGAAAUUCUUGGCCAUUAUCUUUUUAAAUACUGCUCCUUUCAGACCCCCAACUAAUGUAAGUUGCAUCUUGUUCUGUGUCUCUUAACCUUUAAUUUUCAUGUUUUCUGGCAAACUUUCCAUACUGUGUUAUAAAGAAUUUCAACACCCUCUUCCAAUUCAUUAUCUUUUCAUCUAUCCAAAUUAAUCUUUGAUUUUGGGGAUUGAACCCAGGAUCUACACUGAGCUACAUUUGCAGCCCCUUUUGUUUUCUGAGACAGAGUCUCACUAAGUUGCCCAGGCUGGCCUUGAACUUGCGAUCCUCCUGCCUCAGCCUCCCAAGUAGUCCAUCUACCAAAGCAUCACAAAUGCACAACUGGCUGUGGUUUCAGGGCUGGUAGCACGUACUAAGCCACUUGAGGGUUCGAGACUGGCUGUGUGACUUGUUUGGCCAGCAGGGCACCGAGAGGUGACAGAAGGCAGGAGUGUGCUGCUGGCUCAGCUUGGCCCCUGCAUGUGUGCUGUUCCUAUAAGACCAGGCCAUGGCUGGUCUGUGGGACCAAGGAGGCAGGAGAGCUCACUGCUGGCUGCAGUUGGCCACACCUGUGGCACCAGCUGUGCAGAGCUGAGUGGGGAUAUAAAUGGUUUGGCUUUAAGACUCAAUCCUCUGACUUACCCCAGAGCACUAUGGCACUGGAUGGCUGCCAUAUAAAAUGAGGCUCUUUGCUUUAGUCCCCUCAUCUGGAAACUGUCUCUGGAAACUGUCCACGUGCGUUCAAAGGGCCUGGCAUGUAAUAAAUAAGCUCUACAUACUA